GGCCCUUCAAUAAAGCGCCGCACAAAACUUAUCCGAGUUUUGUGUCCUUUAUCAUUCGGGCAACAGUUUUCUGGCGACCGCGGCAGGACUCCGAGGGUUGCUGGGGCGGUUCGCGUCUCGAUCCACUCCAAGCCGGCGCCGAGCACUUCUCGGAGGAGUCAUCGGGUCGUGCCCGACCCCCCGCGCCUGUCGGACGACUGCAGAAGAAAUACGUUACAGUGGAAUAAACCGCUCACGCUGGAGAACUCUGUCCACGACAUCCAGCCUGGGGACCAAGUGUACAUCAAGAAGUGGAUUACGGAUCCGCUACGGGAAUCAUGGAGCGGACCCCACCAGGUGAUGAUGACGACCUACACGGCGGUGAAGGUCCAGGGGAUGGACGCUUGGAUCCAUUACACCAGGCCAGAAAGUUGAGGCCAGUGAAGUUAUUGCAAUAUGGCAACGGGGGGCUGAAAGAAGCCGAGGCAAGACAGAAGUCGGU